rnacentral:rRNA from 1 species
AACGAACGCUGGCGGCAUGCCUAACACAUGCAAGUCGAACGGGAUCCUAGCUUGCUAGGUGAGAGUGGCGGACGGGUGAGUAACACGUGGGAAUCUGCCUUUUGGUUCGGGAUAACCGCGGGAAACUGCGGCUAAUACCGAAUGCCCUCGAGAGAGGAAAGAUUUAUCGCCAGAAGAGGAGCCCGCGUCCGAUUAGGUAGUUGGUGGGGUAAAGGCCUACCAAGCCGACGAUCGGUAGCUGGUCUGAGAGGAUGAUCAGCCACACUGGGACUGAGAUACGGCCCAGACUCCUACGGGAGGCAGCAGUGGGGAAUAUUGGACAAUGGGGGCAACCCUGAUCCAGCAAUGCCGCGUGAGUGAUGAAGGCCUUAGGGUUGUAAAGCUCUUUUGCCAGGAAGAUGAUGACUGUACCUGGAGAAUAGCCCGGCUAACUUCGUGCCAGCAGCCACGGU